CACUUCACUCAAUUGUUGGCUCAUUUGAAGCUUGCUUGCAACAAAAAGCAAAAAAUUGCCCAAACUAUGUGCCUGCCCCAUCCAUCAUGUGUGACCGUGUGAAUCAAUUUACAUAACACGGCUCUCACACUGAGUUUGUUGACCCGUGACUUGGCAAGGCUGGGCGAGUAUCUGUCACUUUCAAGCAAAGAGCUGUACUGCACUCUAAGCUGUACACUCAUUUCUUAAUAACUGCUGAGUUUCUCCAGCUAGGCAGAAUGAAGAUCUAGAGUCACUUUCAAGCCAGAGUUUGGCCACCGGACUGCACUGACUGAAACACUCUCAUGCAGCGGCACAGUCAUGCAGAAGCCACCACAACACCCCUGCUUUUAUGUCAAAGUCAAAAGAAACAGGGUGGGAUACAUCAUUGUUUCAAGCUCCUGUACAGCUGAUGACAAGAUCAUCAUUGUGCAUGAUGCAAAUUGUGCCUGGGGAUAAGAAUCUAUUGUAAGAACAAGAAUCCAGCACAAAUCAUGUUGGAUGUGAUUGCGCCUCUGUACACGGGCAGCUUACUGCACACCUUGGAGUCGAUGAUUUUCACCACGGCCUUCUGCAGCGUGGAAGGCAUCUCAGCUGAAACACAGGCUGCGCCUCUGCUGUGCGACUCACAACUAAACUGGUGCAGGGAUCCCCAUCCUGACACUACGCAUCUCUGGCCGGGUGUAAAGACGUGAGACGGGGCGGGUAGACAGGCAGGCUGGACGUAGGGGCUGAAGGUGAAGGCGCUUUCGGGACAACUGUCUGGAGAGUUGAGGAGAUCGGUGCACAUGAGAGGAAGACAGCCUUUGAUGCAUUCAGACACACCACUUACUAAAUGUAGUAAUCCAUCUACAACCCUGCCAGAAAUUGUUUAGUCUUUCUGAAACAAUUCCGUGCUUCCAAGGUGCGUGCUUGGAGGAAUUGGGUGUGGAAGAACUUGAGAGAGCGAACCUCAAGAACAGUGAUUGGGAGCUGUCAUGGGAGCUCUCUCCGGUGACCUCACAAAAAUAAAAACACCUCAUCUUCUGGAUCGGCAUCUCGCCACCAGACCAUGUGAUCUUGGCAAUCAUUGCCAACUGUGGGCCUGUGAAGCCCUUUGAGACUCUUUUGUGAUUAAGGGCCAUACAAAUAAACUUGACUGAUAAAGCACGUUGCUAUGAGACAAUGUGUGUUACCUCACGUUAUGAACGAGUAGGUAUUUCGCGACAGAAAUACUAAUAUCAUGAGUGAAAUGUAUUUCAAGUAAGAUACACUCACCCUCGCCCAGCAUAUCAUCUCCAAUACUGUAAAACGACUUCCCACUAGCACCUGG